rnacentral:rRNA from 1 species
GACGAACGCUGGCGGCGUGCCUAAUACAUGCAAGUCGAGCGGAUGACGGAGGAGCUUGCUCCUCUCGAUUCAGCGGCGGACGGGUGAGUAACACGUGGGCAACCUGCCCUGUAGAUUGGGAUAACUCCGGGAAACCGGGGCUAAUACCGAAUAAUCCUUCGGACCUCAUGGUCCGAUGUUGAAAGACGGCUUCGGCUGUCACUACAGGAUGGGCCCGCGGCGCAUUAGCUAGUUGGUGAGGUAACGGCUCACCAAGGCCACGAUGCGUAGCCGACCUGGGAGGGUGAUCGGCCACACUGGGACUGAGACACGGCCCAGACUCCUACGGGAGGCAGCAGUAGGGAAUCUUCCACAAUGGACGAAAGUCUGAUGGAGCAACGCCGCGUGAGUGAAGAAGGUUCUCGGAUCGUAAAACUCUGUUGUGAGGGAAGAACAAGUACCGGAGUAACUGCCGGUACCUUGACGGUACCUCAUUAGAAAGCCACGGCUAACUACGUGCCAGCCGCCGCGUAACAC